AUUCAGCCAGGAUCUCAGCUGAUUUGGGUUAUUUUCCAGGUAGAAUGACUCAAACAAUUCUCAAAGGGUCUAGGUCAUCAAUCGAUGUGUCUCUUUUUGGUUGCCAUACUUUUCAUUAACUUUUCCUACUGGAUAUGGAGGUACUAAGAGGCACUCCAGAGAGUCCAGUGGAUUGUAGAUAAAAUCUCCCUUGUGCAGCAGUGACUCAGUUUCCUCUUGGCGUUCAAGAUCAACUACUCCAACAAACAUGGUAACUCCCCCACCUGUCUGCUCAAGGGGCAUCAGGAGCCCAAAACGGUCAGGUAGAAGUCUCAUCUUCCAAUUUAGGGGGAGCACCAUUGUGUCCUCUGAUGGAAGUAUAUGUCCCCUUUAGGGACUAAGACAUCCAAACACACACAGCCCAAAGCUUCUCAGACGAUAAGCAGAGAUUAAGCAUCAUCGUGAGAAGAACCAUCCUCAUUCGUUGAUUCUGGGAAUUCAUACUCAGAGAAGAACUGGUUGAGCCCUGAUGCAGGAUUGUGAAGGCAUACUGUUUGCCCCGCCAAGUGAAAGCAGAGAUCAUCUUGUGUUCCUUCCAAAUUGGUGCGGAAAUAAAGGCUUGGCGGGGUCCCUAGCCUCGUACCAAGUGUCAGAGUUCCCGUGGAUUUGUUCCAGUGAAGAUGAUACACUGGAAACAGAAGCACCUGCCGUCACUAUCUGAGUUAAGUUUGCAGCAGCCCCCGUCAUCCUCCAAGAUCUAUCCGACGUGAUCGCAGGGUGAGUCAGAUGGGAACGUGACAGAUGCCAUCACCCCCUAUGUUUUCAAAUCUUUGGCGGCAAUAUCAAUCACUGCAGUUUUUCCAGAGAGGAGGUAUUGCUUCUAGUUCACAAUCCUGAUCAGGAGAGGACAUUCCAUGGACUUUCACUUGGACAUUCCGGCCAUCAAGACAGCACCCCAUGGUCAGAGAGUUACUUUGGGGGCAAAUGAAGCCCCCUGUGAGUCGGAUUUGAACUAAGUCUCUAUUAUUUCACUGCUGUAAGCCCCACUUUGACUGUUGAGUCAUCGUGGCAUCAGCUCGGAACUACGACCUAAUAAUCCCAUAAGGAUCAUCGCAUUAUGCCCCAGUGAGCUCUCAUAAAGGACUACGGGACUCUUGUUACACUGGGUGUUUGCAACAAUGGUACAGGGUCCUUCCUCAGGUUACUUGGCUUCUCCUUCAGUCGAAGAGCUCUGGGUCUGUGAACCGACUGAGGUCUGGAAACUCACUGAGAGGCCACGAUUCUUCACUGUGGUGAUUCAAGUCAGGGUUGUGGCUCCAGAUCUAGAGUUUAUUAACUCAGUCAAGGAAGUUACUGCAAUCUUAGCCCUGCUUCCAUAAGAAAACGGAGAUCUUUCCGAGGCCAUCGUGGAAGCUCUCAGACAGCCAAUGAAGCUGAAAGCUACAGGAAGUGACUGUGUCAUUUUCUUUUCAGAAAUGCUCAAGUGCACUGAAAGAAAUCACUCCCAGAUCGCGGGGCUCAUAGUUGUCAUUUGAGCCAUAAAGUCAAGUGCAGCAACCACUUGGUGUCCAAAGCACUUACUUCAACUGGCACCUCCUCAGAAUCAAAUACAGGGGAGAGACUCUAAAGAAUUCCCAGAGGCCAAGAGACGAUACCUAAAGAAGGAACACACUUAGAGAGGAGGACCCAGCGUAAAGUUGGUGUUUAGACCUUGUUGGAGGCACGUCAGUCCUCCGAAUGGAAAAGAAGUUCCCUGGGCUGUUCCAGGACCGGGAAAGUGGGAGACAGCCCUCCGAGGUGUGGCUGCAUGAUGUGGCUAUGGGUACCUGAGGGGAGUCAAGGGUGGGAGGGCCACACGGAGCGGUCCACAGAGAGGUGACCACCCGGCCAGGGUCAGGGCCGGGGCUACAAGCCCACAAGGGGCUGGGGCUCCAGAACACUGGCCGGAGAAGAGUGCCAAUGGAGUUUCCUCACACAUACGGCUGCCACCAGGAGUCAGGACCACUCCAGUGUCAGAAAGAGAAGCCCUCCCUCCUGAAACGCCUACCCGUGCUCUCUGCAGAAGGACGUGUUCCAUUGUCGCAGAAGCAGGUGAUGGGGGCAGAAUUUCGGGCCGGGGAUCCUGGCACAGAUCCUAGUCUUUGAGCCCCGUCUCCUGCUUGAACCUGACCACUCCCACCCUCCCUGGGUUCCUUGCUCCCCUUCUCCUCUCCUCUGCGGCCUGAGUCUGGCCACACAUACCACCUACAACCGCUGCUGAGGUUUUCCAAGAGGGGAAGUUCCCGGGGGAGAUGGAGGGAGAGAGUCCAACACGUUCACUUAUGUUCUUUAAUACAUCAUCUCUUUGGGUGAUGCUGAGACCCGGUCCCGGGUAAGCAUGUGGUUGUGGUCUCAGUUCUCUUCCCCUUCCUCCCAUAUCACACAUCACACAGUUGUCAGGUUGUGUCUCCAAUCCCUUCUGAUCUGCAGCAGAGAUGGCUGCAAGUUGCCUGGUUCCCAGAUGGCCUGUGGGAGCGUUAGCAACUUAACAUGCGGGAUUCUCCUAAUACUGACUGCCUGAUUAUGUUGCUCCCAGAGAGCUGGGCAGGGGCUGGGGUGGGGGGUUGCUGGCUCAGAUUCUGGAUGUGAAGUCGCCCCAAUUCGAAUCCCCGAUUAAACGAUUAAACAUUCCAGGAAUGGCUUCUAGGUGAUCACUGCCAGGAGCUUGCGGAAGACUCCCGUGACAAGUCUUUCCUGUUAAACUGUGUUCACUUACAGCUACAAAUAAAAAUUUUCCAAUU